GUAGGUGGCAAGCGUUGUCCGUAAUUAUUGGGCGUAAAGCGCGCGCAGGCGGUUCUUUAAGUCUGAUGUGAAAGCCCACGGCUCAACCGUGGAGGGUCAUUGGAAACUGGAGAACUUGAGUACAGAAGAGGAAAGCGGAAUUCCACGUGUAGCGGUGAAGUGCGUAGAGAUGUGGAGGAACACCAGUGGCGAAGGCGGCUUUCUGGUCUGUAACUGACGCUGAGGCGCGAAAGCGUGGGGGAGCAAACAGGAUUAGAUACCCUGGUAGUCCACGCCGUAAACGAUGAGUGCUAAGUGUUAGGGGGUUUCCGCCCCUUAGUGCUGCAGCUAACGCAUUAAGCACUCCGCCUGGGAGUACGGCCGCAAGGCUG
rnacentral:rRNA from 1 species